ACAGGGGGGGCAAGCGUUGUUCGGAAUUACUGGGCGUAAAGGGCCAGUAGGCUGCCAACUAAGUCCGAUGUGAAAUCCCCGGGCUUAACCUGGGAACUGCAUUGGUGACUGGCAGGCUUUGAGUGUGGCAGAGGGAGGUAGAAUUCCACGUGUAGCAGUGAAAUGCGUAGAGAUGUGGAGGAAUACCGAUGGCGAAGGCAGCCCCCUGGGCCAAUACUGACGCUCAGGCACGAAAGCGUGGGGAGCAUACAGGA
rnacentral:rRNA from 1 species